rnacentral:rRNA from 1 species
GAUGAACGCUGGCGGCGUGCCUAAUACAUGCAAGUCGAGCGAACAGACGAGAAGCUUGCUCCUCUGACGUUAGCGGCGGACGGGUGAGUAACACGUGGAUAACCUACCUAUAAGACUGGGAUAACUUCGGGAAACCGGAGCUAAUACCGGAUAAUAUCUUGAACCGCAUGGUUCAAGAGUGAAAGACGGUCUUGCUGUCACUUAUAGAUGGAUCCGCGCUGCAUUAGCUAGUUGGUAAGGUAACGGCUUACCAAGGCGACGAUGCGUAGCCGACCUGAGAGGGUGAUCGGCCACACUGGAACUGAGACACGGUCCAGACUCCUACGGGAGGCAGCAGUAGGGAAUCUUCCGCAAAGGGCGAAAGCCUGACGGAGCAACGCCGCGUGAGUGAUGAAGGUCUUCGGAUCGUAAAACUCUGUUAUUAGGGAAGAACAUAUGUGUAAGUAACUGUGCACAUCUUGACGGUACCUAAUCAGAAAGCCACGGCUAACUACGUG